rnacentral:rRNA from 1 species
AACGAACGCUGGCGGCAUGCCUAACACAUGCAAGUCGAACGAGACCUUCGGGCCUAGUGGGGCACGGGUGCGUAACGCGUGGGAACCUGCCCUUAGGUUCGCAAUAACUCCCCGAAAGGGGACCUAAUACCGGUUAAUGUCUUCGGACCAAAGAUUUAUCGCCUUUGGAUGGGCCCGCGUUAGAUUAGCCAGUUGGUAGGGUAAAAGCCGGCCAAGGCGACGUUUCAUAGCUGGUCUGAUAGGAUGACCAGCCACACUGGGACUGCGACACGGCCCAGACUCCUACGGGAGGCAGCAGUGGAGAAGAUUAGGCGAUGGGCGAAAGCCUGGUCCAGCAGUGCCGCGUGAGUGAUGAAGGCCUUAGGGUUGUAAAGCUCUUUUUCACGGGAUGAUAAUGACAGUAACGGGAAAAUAAGCUCCGGCUAACUCCGUG